rnacentral:piRNA from 1 species
CAUAUUCUCUGAAGGGCCCCGAUUC